rnacentral:rRNA from 1 species
GACGAACGCUGGCGGCGUGCUUAACACAUGCAAGUCGAACGGAAAGGCCCUGCUUUUGUGGGGUGCUCGAGUGGCGAACGGGUGAGUAACACGUGAGUAACCUGCCCUUGACUUUGGGAUAACUUCAGGAAACUGGGGCUAAUACCGGAUAGGAGCUCCUGCUGCAUGGUGGGGGUUGGAAAGUUUCGGCGGUUGGGGAUGGACUCGCGGCUUAUCAGCUUGUUGGUGGGGUAGUGGCUUACCAAGGCUUUGACGGGUAGCCGGCCUGAGAGGGUGACCGGCCACAUUGGGACUGAGCUACGGCCCAGACUCCUACGGGAGGCAGCAGUGGGGAAUAUUGCACGAUGCGCGGAAGCCUGAUGCAGCAACGCCGCGUGCGGGAUGACGGCCUUCGGGUUGUAAACCGCUUUCGCCUGUGACGAAGCGUGAGUGACGGUAAUGGGUAAAGAAGCACCGGCUAACUACGUG